rnacentral:tRNA from 1 species
GCCCCCGUGGUGAAAUGGAUAUCAUGUGUAGCUUCGGACUAUAAGUUGCGGGUUCGAAUCCUGCCGGGGGCA